GACGUAGGUGGCGAACGUUAUCCGGAAUUAUUGGGCGUAAAGGGUGCGUAGAUCGCAGAACAAGUUAUCAGUGAAAACGAGGCCCAACCUCGUGGAAGUUGGCAAUACUAUUUGCUGGAGUACAGGAGAGGUUAACGGAAUUCCAUGUGGAGCGGUAAAAUGCAGAGAUAUAUGGGAGAACACCAAUAACGGCGAAAGCAGUUAACUAUUCUGUACUGACGUUGAGGCACGAAAGCGUGGGGAGCGAAACGG
rnacentral:rRNA from 1 species